rnacentral:rRNA from 1 species
UACGGGGGGAGCAAGCGUUGUUCGGAUUUACUGGGCGUAAAGCGCGCGCAGGCGGCCAUUCAAGUCAGGGGUGAAAGCCCAGAGCUCAACUCUGGAACUGCCUUUGAAACUGUAUGGCUUGAGUAUGAGAGAGGUGAGUGGAAUUCCCAGUGUAGAGGUGAAAUUCGUAGAUAUUGGGAAGAACACCGGUGGCGAAGGCGGCUCACUGGCUCAUUACUGACGCUCAGGCGCGACAGCGUGGGGAUCAAACAGG